GUAGCCUUGCAGGUUCGAGGUUCUUCGGCAUCCGGCCGAAGCUAAGAUGGGAACGCGGCAAGCCGCGGCUGCCCCCGCAACUGUGAGCGGUUUGAUAGUCUUGCCUGGCCACUGCCCCUUGGGGCGGGAAGGCGCAAGACCCGGUGAUCGGGCGACUGCCGAACACCCGCCCGCAAGCCAGGAGACCUGCCUCGUGACAGAAUUUCAC
rnacentral:ncRNA from 1 species